GAGGAAUAUUGGUCAAUGGACGGAAGUCUGAACCAGCCAUGCCGCGUGCAGGAUGACGGCCCUAUGGGUUGUAAACUGCUUUUAUUCGGGAAUAAACCUCUUUACGAGUAGAGAGCUGAAGGUACCGAAUGAAUAAGCACCGGCUAACUCCGUGCCAGCAGCCGCGGUAAUACGGAGGGUGCAAGCGUUAUCCGGAAUCAUUGGGUUUAAAGGUUCCGCAGGCGGAUAUAUAAGUCAGUGGUGAAAUCCUGCAGCUUAACUGCAGAAGUGCCAGUGAUACUGUAUAUCUUGAAGUGAGUGGGAGUGGGCGGAAUAUGACAUGUAGCGGUAACAUGCAUAGAUAUGUCAUAGAAAACCGAAAGCGAAGGCAGCUCACUAUAC
rnacentral:rRNA from 1 species